rnacentral:rRNA from 1 species
UUUAUGGAGAGUUUGAUCCUGGCUCAGGACGAACGCUGGCGGCGUGCCUAAUACAUGCAAGUCGAGCGGAGUUGAUGAGGUGCUUGCACCUCUGAUGCUUAGCGGCGGACGGGUGAGUAACACGUAGGCAACCUGCCCGUAAGACUGGGAUAACAUUCGGAAACGAAUGCUAAUACCGGAUACGCGAUUUUCUCGCAUGAGGGAAUCGGGAAAGAAGG